ensembl:snRNA U2 U2 spliceosomal RNA
AUCGCUUCUCGGCCUUUUGGCUAAGAUCAAGUGUAGUAUCUGUUCUUAUCAGUUUAAUAUCUGAUACUGUCCCCCAUCGGGGGACUAUACAUAUUAAAUGGAUUUUUCGAACAGGGAGUCGGAAGCGGGGCUUGCUCCGUCCGCUCCACGCAUCGACUCGGUAUUGCAGUACCUCCGAGAACGGUGCACCCUCU